AUUGAACGCUGGCGGAAUGCUUUACACAUGCAAGUCGAACGGCAGCACGGGGCAACCUGGUGGCGAGUGGCGAACGGGUGAGUAAUACAUCGGAACGUGCCCAAUCGUGGGGGAUAACGUAGCGAAAGUUACGCUAAUACCGCAUACGAUCUACGGAUGAAAGCGGGGGAUCGCAAGACCUCGCGCGAUUGGAGCGGCCGAUGUCAGAUUAGGUAGUUGGUGGGGUAAAAGGCUCACCAAGCCGACGAUCUGUAGCUGGUCUGAGAGGACGACCAGCCACACUGGGACUGAGACACGGCCCAGACUCCUACGGGAGGCAGCAGUGGGGAAUUUUGGACAAUGGGCGCAAGCCUGAUCCAGCCAUUCCGCGUGCAGGAUGAAGGCCUCGGUGUAACUAGCUUUGUUA
rnacentral:rRNA from 1 species